AGACUACUUGGCAAUUACAUCAGAAAGCAAAGAGAAUUGUACAGGGGUACAAGUGGAGGAAUAACAUCAGUCGAUCAGCAUUACAUCUACAGAGUCUUUUUAAACAUAGAUGUUGGGAAAAGUGAGAAAGAAUUGAUAAAUGGAAAGGCCAUAUUAGUGAACAGCUUCUAGCUUCAUGAAGGAGCUAAACUUCAUCAUCUUGACUCUUUUAUGAAACUCAAGUUUCACUUCCAAGAGAAUGUUUAAGAGACUAAAACAAGCAUGUUCAAACACAAUCAAUACUGCACUUGACAAGGUCUUCCUCAUUUGCCAACCUGACAAAGCUGUGGCCUUGGAACUGCACUACAGUGCUCACAGGAUAGCAAUCUAGCUGCAACCUUGCAAUGCAAAUUUAAUCUUUUUUUUUAACAAAUUGAUUAUGCCACAAAAAUGCUUGCAAAAUCUUGACCAACAAAGCAGAUUUUCUUUUGAUGUUGCCAGUCAUUUCACUGCAAGGUUUGAAGGUUGUGCAUUGUCUUGUAUCGAAUGCAUUUUUUGUUUGUUGUGCCAUUGACCCAAAGGACUUCACAUCAUUCAUUCAUCACUAUCUUUUCAUUCCUUACUGUCCACACCACAGGUGGAUUGUCUGGAAUGAAAACUGCAUCACAAAGUCUGAAACACAACGUUAAAAAGUGUACAUCUGAAAUAAAACUAAAGUUCUGGGAACAUAUAAAUCGGUGAGCAUUGCUAAGCAGAUAUUUUAAGAAAUCUUUCACUUCAGAACUUGAUAUUUUGACUCACUUCUGAAACUUAAACUUUCCAGAAUUUAUAUUUUAAUAUUUUCAUUGUUGUACACUUCUUGUAAUGUGUUCUAAUUUGAAUGUUUUCCAUCCCUCCAAUCAGGAAUCGUUUUGAUGCUUGUAAUCCUGUGAUGAAACAACUUCAGUUUUUCGCAUGUUGCUUCAGGUCCUUAACAAGGAAGUAGUUUUGCACAAUCUUGUGGCUCAGUGGUAGUGUGUUUGUGUCUAAGCGGUCAGAUCCAUCUGUGAGUCCCACAUGCCUUGAACGUGUGUUAUAGCUUGUUCAAACAGGCUGAUUAAAAUAACUAUCCGCUCUACUGUUUCCUGAAGGAGUGGGGCUGGAACAGGGAAGGGCAGAACAAUAAGUCAAAGUGGAGCUCCAUCAGUCAGGAAGGCCGUCAGCUCUAUCCCAAAGGGAAGGAAUUGUCCGAAACAGCAGCAGAAUUUAUUCCUGCAAUAAAUGGUAGAUAUUUUAAUCGUCCCCCCCCCAGUUCAAACGUCGUGACAUGUGAGAUUUCAACUGGAUCUUCUGGCCCAGAGGUAAGGAUACUACCAUUGCACCUCAAGGUCCCUCACUGCACUAACUGUUGUGCUGUCAAUCUAUUGUUAAUUGUUCACCUUUGACUUAUAUUGCUGAUAUCCCUUAUUCAGCCCUCAUGAGUAAAGCUUCAGCAUCCAACACACAUUGUAUGCCUCUUAUCGCAGCCCAUCUAUUUUAUACAUGUAGACAUCCUGCUGCAAGUGCUAACUCACAGUCCUGUUCAUCUGCUCACUGACACAAGUCCAUUUCCCCAGUACAUUUGCAUUGUACACUUGCAGUUACUUCCCAUUCAAGUGAAAUCCUGGAAACUUUCCUGUCAGCUCAUUGCAUUCCUACAUUUAUACUGCAUGCCUUUUGUCACAAGUAGAUCUGAUCUCCCAUCUUAAUGCAUGAUCUGUGGGUCAGUAACAGGACUGGUACCUUACCUUAAAGGAUGGAUGUGAAAUCCUCACAGUUUCUUCACAUUUUCCAGUGGAGUCAACCAGAGGUGAAAGUUCAAACCUCCCUGCAUAGAAAGCAACGGGUCAGUCCACAAAACACCAACAUCAGACUAUAGAUUUUAACUGAGUUUGGCAUCGGAACUGCUACUUCAAAAUCAAUAUGCAACUUUGAGGCUUGUCAUGUACAAACAUCUGAAUUGUGGGCAUAUCCUGUACCUCAGCAUGUCUAUGAACUGUGUAACUCCCCUGAAUAGUAAAAGACAUGUGGUAUAACCUGCAGAGGCAGCAUGGUUUUGUAUGAUUGUAAGAAAACUGUUUCAUUAGAAAAUCCUGGGCCAAACAGCUGGCUUCAGAACAAAUACAUUUAAUUUUCAUAACAAAAAAUAAAUGGUGUACUGUGCUCCUGUUA